CUCAGAGAGCCCUCUACAGGGACGUCAUGCAGGAGAACUACGAGACGGUGACCUCGCUGGGAUUUCCCAUUCCCAAACCUGACCUGAUUGUCCGGCUGGAACAAGGGGAAGAGCCGUGGGUGCCGGAUCUCCAGGCCUCCGAGGAAAGAAGGCUUCGGAGAUGCCCCCAUACAGAUGCCGGUGACCUUCGAGGAGGUGGCUGUGUAUUUCACCCAGGAG